GUGCGCGCUUAAAUUAACGUUAUAGCUACUGGUGGUUACCUAGCAACUGACGUCAUUCACGCCAAGUUGUGUGUUGUGUGCAGACGUCGCCAUUGUAAACAACGUCAACGGAUAACAUCCGGUUACAGUUAAUUAGUUCAAACUGGGCUAUAUUAUUUUAAUCAUGCCAAAAUGUUACUUAAAUGGUAUUCGAGGAUACAGAACAGGAAAAUACAAAAGCAAUACGG
rnacentral:lncRNA from 1 species